GUGAUGAAGAGGAGGAAAACAUGUGGGACCACGUUGAGCGCAUCCAGGAAACAGCCGUUGUUCAGAACGCCCCCGUCCACGUUAUAGGCCACCGAGUUGUUCUCGUUCCCACAGAACGCCAAGGACAUGGUGGAGCCGGGACUCUGCAGGGAACCGGCCGGACGAAAGAGGAGGAGGAGGAAGAGGAGGAGGGCCAGAGACAGAGACAGAGGAGAGACAGGGAUUUAAAAGAAGAGCCUCUCAGAGCAUGUUGUCUUUUUAAAUGGGACUGUUUCUCCAGUAGAUCCCAGUAAUUCCCAGAGUGACCUCCUUCCUGUCCCCUCUCUAAUCCAGCUCCCAAAUAUCAGCUCCAGUCACAGAGAGGAGACGGAGGGAAGGAGGGAGGAAGAAAGGGUCAGAAUCAGUCACAGUCCAGAGCAGCAGCAGCAGCAGCUCCCUCUCCUCUCCGGUCGUCUAAGCAGCUUUCCCUUCCAUGCCGGUGAGAAACAUCUGCAUCCCGUCUGCCUGCAGUCUGCAGACAUCCUCUAAGGCUGAGGCUUCAGCGCUACACAGCUCCACUGGAAUGAAUGCUUUCAGACAUGCUCACAUCGCUCCAACGUACGCACACACAAACACACACACACACACACACGCAGCUAGAGCAGCGGCUGCAUUCUGCGGUGCACCUGCUAUUCCUGUCUCUUUGCAAAUGAGAGCUCAAAGCCGACCUUGGAAGACGAGAGAAGAGGGGGCAGAGUGAGCAGGAGAGCUGGACUGAGCCGCUGGAGGUAGGAGGGUACUAUGAAUGAUGAAGAGAGAGAGGAGGGGGAUAUCUGCUGGAGGAACAGUGCAAAAGCCACACAGAGAAACACUCCUCGGAACCGUCACAUCCGUCGCCUGGAUGGUCAACAAUGAGGGUAAAUCUCCCAAAGUGCGCUCUCUCAUGUGUUCCCGGUGACCGGCUGGUCGCGGUUUGAGCGUCCGGCAGCAGGCGUCGCUUCCCCGGGCGGAGGCUGGGAGCUGUCCACGGUGCUGAACCCGGGGACCGUGGAGGAGGAGGAGGAGGAGGAGGAGGAAAAGGAGGAGGCAGAUCUUCCAGGGGCCACCUCUGGACCCUGACAUGAACCGGGAAGCCUGAAGAGCAGCAGCCGAACACAGCGACGGUCGAUGAGACGCUGAAUCUCGUCACGUUUGCAACAUUGAACCAGUGAAUGACUCCACAGCGGUUAUAUAAGAGACCAGUGGGAUGAUGCUUAGAGGAACACACAUGUAGCAUUACAUGAUCAGCUGCACGCAUUGCAUCUUCUUUUACUGGCUUUUUUUUCUCCUUUAACCUAAAAGCUCGAUUUUCCAAACUCCCACACAGAUUCCAAGGAUCUGACCUGGAUCCAUUUAAUGACACUGAGGUUUAAACUGAGCAGAAUUAUGAACUGAGUCAAGACAGCAGCUCGAUAUUCAACAAGGAGCACCAUUGCCCCCUGUGGACAUUUAAUUUACGAAACUCUACGGCUCCCUGUGGUUCAAGCAAAUCGAUGCAGAUGAUGAAAGCAGCAGAUCAGAGAAAAUGAAGAAGCAGGAAGUGGCCCAGAAGAUGACCUCGAGCUGCUUUUAGCUCAGUAAAAUAUUGUUAAUACCUCUUUGAACUGGCAAAAAUGUGAAAAGUUUGAUAGUUUUAAGCAUAUUUCUAUACUGUAAGUUAAAGCUAUGACUUAAAACUACAUAAAAAUGGAUGUAUGUAUGUUUUUAAAAGAAAGAAAGAUUAAAACAAGCUCACUUUAUUUCAGUAAAAUACUGUUUACGUACCUUAAAAUAAGCAAAAAAUGGGAAAAAUAGUAGUUUAAAGCACAUUUCUAUACUGUAAGUUAAGGUUAUGACUUAAAACUACAUAGCAGUGGAUGGAGGCAUACUUUAAAAAGUAAGGAAAAUUAAAACAAGCUCAUUUUAGUUUAUUAAAAUAUUGUGUACCUACCUUAAAAUGGACAGUUUUAAAGAAAUCUUAUAUUUUAACUGAAAGUCAUGAUUUAAAAUUACACAAAAAUGAAUGUAGCCUUAUUUUUAGACAUUUUAUAAAGCAAGGAAAAUGAAAACGUGCUCAUUUUAGUGACAAAAGAACAAACAAAGGAAAAGAUCUGCAGGAUUGAAAGUGCACAAAGAGGUAAUAUUCUAGUAGCUGGAAUACCAACAACAGGGACAACAACAAAACAUCCAUGAUUAAAACAAAUUUUCUACAUUAAUUUUACACAAGAUCAUGAGUAUUAUUUUUCUUAUGGCUUCUUAAUGUUUAAUGAAGUAUAUUUCAUGUGUAAAAACAAGGGAAUUGUCUAUAAUAUAUAAUAGUAUAUAAUGAUAUAUUUGACACAAAAAAACCAAUAUUUUCACAGGUUAUCAGUGCUUAUAGAUAUAACAUUGAUGAAAACACAUUCAUGCAAUAUUUUUGCUGUGUAUUCUCUGUAAUCAUCCUUGUCAUUUACCAGAAAUAAACCUUUCUAAAAUUACAGAACCAAUACUAUGUAUGUAUCUGGAUCUUUUUAUGAAUAUAUUUACAGUAUUAAACUUGAAUUCAACCGUUUCAUCUAAUAAAAAAAGGAAAUAUUUGCAAAAUUACAAUACAUUUGAGCAUGUAUUUUAAUAGUCUUUUUAAGUAAAAAAAAAUAUUCAAAUCGAAUGUUACUAUUCAGUUAUAAGUUUAUUUUAGGUAUUUUACAUAGACAUUAAAAUUACAGGGAAAAAAUCUGUGAAAAAAACAAGUAACAUAAAUUUACAGAUUAUUUUUUUUCUUCCCAGUGUAGAUUCAAAUUUUUGCCUUAUCUGCUAGAAAAAUUGCUGCCUGUCAACUGGCCAUGAAGUAAAUAAUGAAAAAGCUUUUUUGGGAAAUGCUACUUUAGGCUGCCUGUCUCACUGCGUCUCUAACUUGUAAAAUAAUGUUUAUAAAGGGAAGCAGAAACAGCACAACAGAAUCCCAUUUCUCAUCUGAGCAGCUCUUUAUUCGACUUUGAAAAGGCAGAUUGAGGAGGUGAUAUUAAUUACAAAUUGCCUGUUUCAACUCAUCUUUCAUUCUUUCACUGACAGAUUUAAGAAAAGAUCCUGUGUCUAACUGAAGUUGAUCAUUUCUAGCUUUGACAGAGGAGAUGAAAAUAAAAGACAAUAAAAGUGCAGAUUUACUGAAGCUCAAUCUUAAAGAGUAACAAGAGUAAAAACUAAGAGAAAACUUGUGUUUAUGGGCGAAUGUGUGUUGUUGUGAGUACGGAGACAGUGAAUCUUUAAAGAAUCAAGAAUGAAAAGCUUCAUCUAGAAGAACGUCCUGCAGGAGAAGAGAGAAGAAUUGUUCAGUAACAUGUCAUCCUGUCAGAUUUACUUUCAUCAACUGUACAAAGACAAACAUUAAAAGCUACUGUAGUUCAACUGCUAUGAAAUGUACACUGAAAAAACAAUUGCACUAUUCUGUGUUUGCUUUAGUCACUGCACAACAGACUACCAUGCAUGCAGGUGGAAUACAGACACAACAUAAUCUGAAAAUAAAACAUUCUCGUCCUUCCA